rnacentral:rRNA from 1 species
GACGAACGCUGGCGGCGUGCUUAACACAUGCAAGUCGAACGGAAAGGCCCUGCUUUUGUGGGGUGCUCGAGUGGCGAACGGGUGAGUAACACGUGAGUAACCUGCCCUUGACUUUGGGAUAACUUCAGGAAACUGGGGCUAAUACCGGAUAGGAGCUCCUGCUGCAUGGUGGGGGUUGGAAAGUUUCGGCGGUUGGGGGUGGACUCGCGGCUUAUCAGCUUGUUGGUGGGGUAGUGGCUUACCAAGGCUUUGACGGGUAGCCGGCCUGAGAGGGUGACCGGCCACAUUGGGACUGAGAUACGGCGCAGACUCCUACGGGAGACAGCAGUGGGGAAUAUUGCACAAUGGGCGGAAGCCUGAUGCAGCAACGCCGCGUGCGGGAUGACGGCCUUCGGGUUGUAAACCGCUUUCGCCUGUGACGAAGCGUGAGUGACGGUAAUGGGUAAAGAAGCACCGGCUAACUACGUG